ACUAAACAAGCAGAUAUCAAUAAUUUGAGAGAGAGAGAGAGAUGGCAUCUGUUGCUUUGACUUCUCUCAGUGCAACUUUGAAGUUAGAGUUUCUGCAGCCCAAUAAUCUAAGGGUUUGUGUGGAUGAUGAAGCAUCCAUAUGUAUCAAUUCUUUGUUUGAAAAGAUUUCAUCUUUGCAAGCUUUUGUUCAAGAGAAAUCUGGGGGUGGCCCUGCAACCAGAGAUUUGGAGAUGAAGAUCAGAGACUUUGCACUGGACGCCGAAGAUGGCAUCGAAAUACAAUUCAGCAACUUUCUUCUGGCCAAGAACGCAGAGGAUGAACAAAAUAAUGCUUCUCAGAAACUAAUGCAGAUCUUCGAAAAAGCGACAGAAAAGGCAGCAGAGUUGCUGAAACUUACCAGCAGCAUAAGCAAAGAAGCAGUGAAGAAUGAAAGUGAAGGAACACUGAUUCCUUGGAUAAAGCAUUCUCCGGUGAUGCUUGAGGGGGGCAGAAUGGUGGGUCGUCAACGUGAUCAUAUGCUGAUAGUUGAUAAACUCGCCCUCAAUGAUUCCUUGGGAUUUCAUCGUAAAAUCGGAGUAAUCACAAUUCUUGGUAUGACCCGUAUAGGAAAAACAACUUUAGCUACAAGUGUCUAUAAUGAUCCAAAAGUUAUAUCUCACUUUGUACGAGGUUGGAUUACCAUGUCUCGGGAAUACAACAAGACCCAAACGCUACACGACCUUCUUUGGACACUAACAAAGGAGGCAAACAUUCCUGAUGAUGAUGAUGUAGCAGCUACGCAGGUAUACAACUUCUUGAAAGGUAAGAGGUUUCUAAUUGUUGUGGAUAACUUAUGCAACACUCAAGCUUGGUAUGAUAUAAGAAGAUGUCUUCCUCAUGAAGAUGAUAAUGGAAGUCGCGUAGUGCGCACUACGCAUUUAAGGAGGGCUUUCCCUGAGGAAGCUUACUACCCAAAUUACUAUGUCCAUCACAUGUCUUUGCUAAAUUCAGAAGAAAGUUGGAAUUUAUUUUGCAAUAACUCUUUUUUGGAACCACAUAUGGCAUCUAAAUUUAAAAAAAUUAGGAGCCAAGUUGUAGAGAUAUGUGAAGGAUUGCCGCACUCAAUACUUGUAGUUGCAAAGCGUCUAUCUAAGUGUGACAACAUACAACAAGAAUGGAAGAAGGUUGAAAAGGAAAUAGAGUUGCUUGGAGUUCUAGAUAGAAGGGCACUCACCCUCACCUACAAUCAAUUGCCAGAACAUUUAAAAGUUUGUUUUUUAUAUUUUGGAGUCUUUCCAAGACGUAGUGCAAUCAAAGUGAAACUAAUAAUUAGGUUAUGGAUUGCUGAGGGAUUUAUUAAGCCAUUGAAGUUUACGGAGUUAGAAAGUCAAGGUUAUGAGUAUUUACAAGAGCUUAUUGAUAGAAGUCUUAUUCUAAUUGACAAUAUAAGGUGUGGUGAAAAAAUUAGGAAUUGUAGGAUGCAUAGUGCUUUGCAUAGCUUUUGCGUAAGAGAAGCUCAGAAAGAGGGCAUUUUUUGUGCUUUAAAUACUCUGCAACUUCCACGAGGGUCAUUUAGUAUGUUUGCAAAUUCAUGCCGCUGGUUAAGCUUAUAUACACAUAAAUUUGACUAUUAUGUCUUGUUAAGAACAAACAACCCUCACUCCAUUUUCUUCUUUCAAGAAGAUGCUGAUAUAUUUAUAUCUUUCAAGUUGCUUAGAGUUUUGGCUUUUGCUCCAUCUUCGUUUCUUCAAAGAGAGCCAACACGCUUACAUGAUUUAGUUUUUUUGAGAUACCUAUCUGUAUCUGAAUGGUUUGAGGGUCUUGAGUAUGUAGUGUCAACCAAUCAAAACUUGCAGACACUUGUUGUUUCUAGUAAAGAAUCCCAACUUGGAACACCUACUAUUCAUUUGCCUUCAACAAUUUGGGAGUCACCGCAGUUACGACAUCUUGAACUUGACAAAUCAUAUAUGAUUGAUCCUCCAAACAUGGAUAAAGAUAAUAUGCAAACAUUAUUUUGGGUGUGUCCGACGCAUUGCAGAACAGGAGUACAUUGCAGGUUUCCAAACAUUAAAGAUUUGAAAAUCUUUGUUUCUGGAGGCAAUCCAAUUACUUUGGAUAAUCUUGAAUGUUUGAAACGACUUGAGAUGCUAACAAUUUCAGUUUUGUUAGGCCAUGUUCUAACCCUUCCAAAACCAUUUGUGUUUCCUUCACUUCUAAUGAAGUUGAGCUUGAAUGAUAUUAACCUUUCGGAGAAGGAUUUAACGGGAAUUGGCAUGUUACCUUAUCUUGGAGUUCUCAAGUUGAAAAAUGUCUUUCAUGGGAAAGUAUGGGAAGUAGAAGCAAGUGGAUUUCAUAGCUUACAAUUCUUGCUUCUUGAAGAUAAAACGCUCAAGCAAUGGAGAGUUGAUAAAAAUUCAUUUCGUAUGCUUCAGCGCUUAGUCCUAAGAUUUUGUUAUUGUUUGAAAAAAAUCCCUCUUACUCAUAAACAUACUAUAUGUUUGAAGUCAAUUGAGUUCCAGCAGUGUUGUCCUUCCGUUGUCACUUCUGCAGAGGAUCUCCAACGUAGAACAAAGAUGCGAUCCAAUGCUUUUGAGAUCAAAAUUGUGGGACCUGAAUAUGAUGAAUCACCAUGUACAGACAUAGAAGAGUCUAUACCUUCAGAUGAUGAAUGACGAUGACUAGCUAAUAGGAUUUUUGGUAACAGAUGGACAGAAAUCGCGAAGGAUGGUUUGUCUGAUCUGUUCCUGCAGAACUGAUAAUGCUGUGAAGAAUCGGUAUUAGCAAAAGAAAACAGUAAUUCAUCCAUUAAUAGGAUCGGAGGGUUAUCUUUCCAAGUUAGCUCAACAGUAUUUCAGAAUCUGCAGUGCCCUUAAGAAGCAAAGGAGGAGUCACAUUCCAGAUCCCCUAGAAAGUUUUAGCAACGGGGAAAAAUCACUCGUGAGUUGUGAUGCAACGAAUCAGAUGCUAAGGUCUCCAUUUGCAGUAAUAGGUCAAAAUCUCUACAGUCCCGGGAGCAAUGUAUCGAGUCAUCAAAAUGAUGAGGACACCAAAGAUUCACACGCCAAUGGUACUUGAAGACUUUUUCAAUCAUACAAAAGAUGGUGAUGUGACGAAAUGCCAAAUUUCUGAGAUGGAGAUUCAACUCCAGAAUUUUAAGCAGCAAUCUGCAAAUGAAUUAAAAAGCAUUAAUGAAUGCAGUCAACCAUUUUUGAUGCAACCUGCUUUAUUGGAAGAGUCUGCAGGCAGCUUGGAGUAUAGCACGGGAUCAACUUUACUAGCCCACGAGGUUGGUGAUAAUAGAGAAAAGAGCGAAGCCGAGCUAUGUGCAUUGCAUCAGGAUAUUGAACCGGGAUUACAGUCAACCACAUUGAUGAUGAAUUUGCAAAAGGAAUUUCUGGCAAUAAUGCCUAGACUUCUCAAGAUUCUGCAGGGCUCAACCACCAUGACUUUUCGUCCAAAAAUUUCAGGCAUGUGUAGAUUUUUUAAAGCCAGUUUUCCGUUGGAUUGCAGUCAUUAUGACCUGAGUUUUUACAAAGAGGCCAUGAAGAUCUGAUCCCAAAGACCACAAUCAAGAAUGCUAAGGAGCACCCUAGUAUUUUCCGAAGA